GCUCCUCAGCCGUGGGCGUAUUGCCGUUGGAUGCCUUCUGCUUGGGCCCCGACCCCUGCUCUGGGGACGCCUCCUGCUUCUGUGUGUUGGCAGCCCCUUCCUCCUCCUUCGCCUGCUGCUGCUCUGAGUUCUCAGGGUCCACCGCUGGGCUCUUCUCUGUUGUCAUGGUGGUGCCACCCGCCUCUGCUGCUCCUCACGCAGCGCACCGGGGCCCCAGCGAAGAGCCCUCGGUGCGCUGCCUCGGGGCGGGGCCGGGCCGAGCCGAGCCGAGCCGAGCCGAACCCAAGCAAUCCGAGCCGCGCCGCUCCGAGCCCCGCCGCGCCCGCCGGCAGCGUCCUCCCGGCCUCC
rnacentral:lncRNA from 1 species